rnacentral:rRNA from 1 species
GAACGCUGGCGGUGUGCUUAUAAUGCAAGUCGAACGAUGAUGUCUCUUCGGAGAUAAUCAGUGGCGGACGGGUGAGUAACAGUAUGUAACCUGCCUUGAGGCGGGGGAUAACUCCGGGAAACCGGUGCUAAUACCCCAUAUGUAAUAGAUUGCAAUAUCUAUUAUGAAAGCUCUGGCGCCUUUAGAUGGGCCUGCGUCUGAUUAGCUAGCUGGUGGGGUAAAAGCCUACCAAUGCGACGAUCAGUAGCUGGUUUGAGAGGAUGAUCAGCCACAAUGGAACUGAGACACGGUCCAUACUCCUACGGGAGGCAGCAGUAGGGAAUUUUGCGCAAUGGGCGAAAGCCUGACGCAGCAACACCGCGUGUGGGAUGAAGCUUUUCGGAGUGUAAACCACUGUCAGUGGGGACGAAUAUUGACGGUACCCACAAAGGAAGCACCGGCUAACUCCGUGCCAGCAGCCGCGGUAAGACGGAGGGUGCAAGCGUUGUCCGCGAAUUAUUUGGGCGUAAAGCGUCCGUAGGCGGCAUGUCAAGUCUAAUGUUAAAGCCCGGAGCUCAACUCCGGUUCGGCAUUGGAUACUGGCAAGCUAGAGUACAGGAGAGGCAAGGGGAAUUCCUAGUGUAGCGGUGAAAUGCGUAGAUAUUAGGAGGAACACCAGUUGCGAAAGCGCCUUGCUGGACUGUAACUGACGCUGAGGGACGAAAGCCAGGGGAGCAAAUGGGAUUAGAUACCCCAGUAGUCCUGGCUGUAAACGAUGGAUACUAGGUGUUACGGGUAUCGACCCCUGUAGUGCCGUAGCUAACGCGAUAAGUAUCCCGCCUGGGGAGUACGCACGCAAGUGUGAAACUCAAAGGAAUUGACGGGGACCCGCACAAGCGGUGGAACAUGUGGUUUAAUUCGAAGCAACGCGAAGAACCUUACCAGGACUUGACAUCUAGUGAAUCUUGGGGAAACUUGAGAGUGCCCUUCGGGGAACGCUGAGACAGGUGGUGCACGGUUGUCGUCAGCUCGUGUCGUGAGAUGUUGGGUUAAGUCCCGCAACGAGCGCAACCCUCGUUGUUAGUUGCCUGCAAGAGCCUGCUCUUGUAGUGCUCUCUAGCGAGACUGCCGGUGAUAAACCGGAGGAAGGUGGGGAUGACGUCAAAUCAUCAUGCCCCUUAUGUCCUGGGCUACACACGUGUUACAAUGGAUGGGACAACGAGCAGCCAGCCAGCGAUGGUGAGCAAUCUCUUAACCCAUUCCCAGUUCGGAUCGCAGUCUGCAACCCGACUGCGCGAAGUCGGAAUCGCUAGUAACCGUAGAUCAGCACGCUGCGGUGAAUACGUUCCCGGGUCUUGUACACACCGCCCGUCACACCAUGGAAGCUGACCACGCCCGAAGUCGGUGAGCUAACUCUUUGAGAGGCUGCCGCCUAAGG